ensembl:piRNA 21ur-5240 ncRNA
UAUUCCGUGUUUGUAUGUAAA